GUCUACAGCCAUGCUACACUGAACAAGCCCAAUCCCGUCUGAUUUUGGAAGCUAAGCAGGGUUGGGCCUGGUUAGUACUUGGAUGGGAGACCACCUAGGAAGACCAGGUGCUGUAGGCG
rnacentral:rRNA from 1 species